rnacentral:rRNA from 1 species
CCUACGGGAGGCUGCAGUGGGGAAUAUUGGACAAUGGGGGCAACCCUGAUCCAGCCAUGCCGCGUGUGUGAAGAAGGCCCUCGGGUUGUAAAGCACUUUCAGUGAGGAAGAACGCCUGGUGGUUAAUACCCAUCAGGAAAGACAUCACUCACAGAAGAAGCACCGGCUAACUCCGUGUCAGCAGCCGCGGUAAUACGGAGGGUGCGAGCGUUAAUCGGAAUUACUGGGCGUAAAGCGCGCGUAGGUGGCUUGAUAAGCCGGUUGUGAAAGCCCCGGGCUCAACCUGGGAACGGCAUCCGGAACUGUCAAGCUAGAGUGCAGGAGAGGAAGGUAGAAUUCCCGGUGUAGCGGUGAAAUGCGUAGAGAUCGGGAGGAAUACCAGUGGCGAAGGCGGCCUUCUGGACUGACACUGACACUGAGGUGCGAAAGCGUGGGUAGCAAACAGGAUUAGAUACCCCAGUAGUC